CGCGACGGACGUCCCCUUCGACCAAUGGGAGGCUGGGCUGGGUAGGCAGAUGUGCGGUGUUUACCAAUGACAACAAUAAUAAAAAUAGCCGUAGAAAAUGGAGUUCGGUUGCGCCGCAGGCUGACACGCAGAUGAGCGGGGACGUGUAAAACGCGGCGCAGUGAUUUCAAGGAGCGGAAUCUGAUGUACACACAAUCACAGGAAGACCACGUGGUCCCUUUAUGGUCUACAUGGCCCUGCUCAGAGACAUUCCUCUGCUAAUGCUGCUGCAACAAGCUUCUUGUGUCUUCUUGUCCUCAAAAUAAGAUCAAAUAAAAUAGAGUAAAAUAAAAUAAAAAAUAAUGAAUCCAACCAAAUUGCAGGCAUUUUGGUAGCCCUUUUUAUAACAUUCAAGUCCUUCAACCGACAUUACCUGAUUUUGGGUCAGUGGAAAUAAGUCACGCUAACUGACAUUUUACAAUUUUUAAAAAUUUGAGAACUCAUAGGCAAGCACCUUAACUAGAAUGUCACUCAGUAAAGCGCGUACCAUACUUCUAUCAAGGCCCAACAGUCCCCUUAUUAUUAGAUUAAGCUGCCCCAAAUUGCACACACUCAUAGAUGUCAGAUUAUUAUUUUUUUCCUCAAGAUCCGUGAUUUAUUCCCUGAGAAAUUGGUAAAAAUGUCCAACGUCCUAUGUUGCGAUAUGUUAAAUGAAAUGCGUAAAAUAUCCAGAUCUUUGCCAAACUUUAAAGGGUUCUUUCUAAGGCUGUGUCCCACCCUUCCACUGAGUAUCGUGGAAACCAACAAACAGACAAAAGGGGGUGAACUGAAGUAAAUAUCUUGUAUUUAGGUUUGUGUCUGUGGUGCAUGUCCAAUAUUUUCAUUGUGAGCUUUAGCUGCCAAAUGCUCCACUUACCUUCACAGUCACUCACAGUCCGUUUGGUGCCUGCAUCUGGAAACGACAGUGACACAGCUAAGCUGAGGGACAUCAAACCAAAACAACGAGCUGAAAGACGCCACAACCCCUUCACAUAAUUUGAUACAUUGUUAGUAUGUCACUAUCAAUAAGAGCAGCUUUAAAGAAAACCUAUUCUAGUAAAUCUUACCUGAUUUGGGAUAAAAUUAUUAGCUCUGAGUAACCUUUUACUUUCACUGCAUCGCUGUUUGUGAUGCAAUUAUAAAAUAUUCUGAAUUGUCUGUAAUUAUUUUUUUAAGAGUCGCUGCAGUUUUGUAUUUUUUACUGUUGAAUGUUUUUUUCUUUUAAGUUUUUUUUUCUUUUGCACUUUGCUGAGAUGUAUUUUUUUCCAUUAUGACUGAGACAUUUUAUUAGACAGCGACAGUCGACGUAGGAAAGGAUGGAGGAUAUAGAAGAUGUAACCCGUCAGCCACCAGAGCUCCCCCGACAUUGACCAACUCCUUCACUUUAACAUUUAUUAUUAUUUAUUUAGUAUUUCCACGAUAACUAAGCAAAGCUCCCCUGCUGAUGAAGACCAGAAUAAACAGGGCUCACGAUGUGAGGUAUAUGAUGAUCGAAAUAUAUAAUAAUACGUUGUUUGACACAUAUUUUAACGUAUUAAGAUAAAAUAAGAUAACAUAAUCCUUUAUUGAGCAGCACACUGUGGAAAGUUUAAAUACGAACAUAUAUUUUUUUUUAAAUCAGAAAAAUAAGUAAACAUGCUGUACAUUAAAACAAUUUAAUUUCAUAGAAAAAAAGUAUGUUCUCCUAUAAUCAAUAAAGGGAUGAAAUUUAAUGUACGUGUGGGAUCUUUAAAUUAGCCCUGGUACAAUAUUUACUACCGCAUGAAUCCGGUCCCGUGCGGGCCGAAAGGAUUCCAUCCCGCCGGGGUUUCCCGGCAGCGAGCGCGUUUACUAGCAGUAGUAGAGCCGCCGCCACGCCGUGUCACCGAGCGCAGUCUGGGAGUGUGGAGGUCGAGUAAAUAAUGGACUCGAUGCCACCUGCUCGUGGGACAGACGCCGGUCUGCACACUGGUCCCGGCACAGGGAGCAGUGCGUGCUCUUCUGCCGGCGCGUGCGCCUUCAUUCACCCCCUGUCAAUAAUCCGGAGAAUAACGUGCUGCACCCAGAAAAAACCCAUGCGCCAUGGCGCACGUGUUCUCGGUCCGUGACGUCAUGGUAUGAUACGGAGGUACAUAUAGGCGACUGGAGGAGAACGGUGCAGAUGGCAUUUCACUGGCAGACCGAUACAACCCUCGUCCACACGCCACUCCUCACCAGAACCGACAUCCACGGGCCCCUCCGAUGACCUCAUCAGAAGUAACUUUCGUCCACAUCUUCAGCAUUAAUCUUCGCCUCCUCCACCGCCACAGAUGUGUUGACUCUAUCAGGGGAUUUUUCCUGUGCCCCUUAUGGAAUGACUGUCCCCUUUAAAGGGGGUAUAAUAGCCAAAGACUCUCCAAAUAUUUAUUUCUAUUUUUCCUAUUGUGCACACUAAAUCAAAUAAAUAACUUUGAUUACUCUU